rnacentral:rRNA from 1 species
AAUAGAUACCCGGGUAGUCCAUGCCGUAAACGUUGGGCACUAGGUGUGGGGCUCAUUCCACGAGUUCCGUGCCGCAGCAAACGCAUUAAGUGCCCCGCCUGGGGAGUACGGCCGCAAGGCUAAAACUCGAAGGAAUUGACGGGGGCCCGCACAAGCGGCGGAGCAUGCGGAUUAAUUCGAUGCAACGCGAAGAACCUUACCAAGGCUUGACAUGCACGGGAAGCCACCAGAGAUGGUGGUCUCUUUGGACACUCGUGCACAGGUGGUGCAUGGUUGUCGUCAGCUCGUGUCGUGAGAUGUUGGGUUAAGUCCCGCAACGAGUGCAACCCUGUCCCAUGUUGCCAGCGGGUUAUGCCGGGGACUCAUGGGAGACUGCUGGGGUCAACUCGGAGGAAGUGGGGAUGACGUCAAAUCAUCAUGCCCCUUAUGCCUUGGGCUUCACGCAUGCUACAAUGGCCGGUACAAAGGGCUGCGGAUACCGUAAGGUGGAGCGAAGUCCCAAAAAGCCGGUCUCAGUUCGGAUUGGGGU